rnacentral:rRNA from 1 species
ACUGACGCUGGCGGCGUGCCUAACACAUGCAAGUCGAACGAGCAGCAAUGCUAGUGGCAGACGGGUGAGUAACGCGUAGGUAAUCUGCCCAUCGAUGGGGGACAACUAGCCGAAAGGUUGGCUAAUACCGCAUACGCUGGAUGCCCGAGAGGGGAUUCAGGAAAGAUUUAUUGUCGAUGGAUGAGCCUGCGUCCGAUUAGCUAGUUGGUGAGGGUAAUGGCCCACCAAGGCGACGAUCGGUAGCUGGUCUGAGAGGACGAUCAGCCACACUGGAACUGAGACACGGUCCAGACUCCUACGGGAGGCAGCAGUGGGGAAUUUUCCGCAAUGGGCGAAAGCCUGACGGAGCAACGCCGCGUGGAUGAUGAAGGCUUUCGGGUCGUAAAGUCCUUUCAGCAGGGACGAGCAGAAGACGGUACCUGCAGAAGAAGCAUCGGCUAACUACGU